rnacentral:rRNA from 1 species
AUUGAACGCUGGCGGCAUGCCUUACACAUGCAAGUCGAACGGUAACAGGUUAAGCUGACGAGUGGCGAACGGGUGCGUAAUAUAUCGGAACGUGCCCAGUCGUGGGGGAUAACGUAGCGAAAGCUACGCUAAUACCGCAUACGAUCUACGGAUGAAAGCGGGGGAUCGCACGAACUCGCGCGAUUGGAGCGGCCGAUAUCAGAUUUGGUUGUUGGUUAGGUACAAGCUCACCAAGCCUGCGAUCUGUAGCUGGUAUGAGAGGACGACCAGCCAUACUGGAACUGAGACACGGUCCAGACUCCUACGGGAGGCAGCAGUGGGGAAUUUUGGACAAUGGACGCAAGUCUGAUCCAGCAAUGCCGCGUGCAGGACGAAGGCCUUCGGGUUGUAAACUGCUUUUGUACGGAACGGAACGGUGAGCUCUAAUACAGUUUGCUAAUGACGGUACCGUAAGAAUAAGCACCGGCUAACUACGUGCCAGCCGCCGCUGUAA